GUCAGUUUAUACAUUCAUCUGAUCACUAGAGGGAGUGAAGAAUCACUUCAGUUCAUUCAAACUGUGCUGUGAAACAAACCAUGAUCUCUUCAUCUUUACUGUUGCUUCUGGCAGUGAUAUCCUGUAUUGAUUCAUAUGAACUCACUCAGCCUGAGUCUCUGACUGUCCGUCCUGAUGCCACUCUCACUAUCAACUGUAAAGUCUCAUAUUCAGUUACAAGUGAGCAUACAGCCUGGAUUCGUCAGCCUGCAGGAAAAGCUCUGGAGUGGAUUGGAUUGAUCUGGUAUGGUGGAGGCUUAGACUACAAGGAUUCACUGAAAAGCAAGUUCAGUAUCACCAGAGACACUUCCAGUAACACAAUAACACUGCAAGGAAAGAAUAUGAAAGCUGAAGACACAGCUGUGUAUUAUUGUGCCAAACACACAGUGACAGACACCAACAGACUCCCUUUUCCAUUAACUCGCCAUUUGCUGUGUUUCAGUAUCAAGCUAUUGCAUCUGGAUCUGCUGGAAAAGCACUGGAAUGGCUCGGAUAUCUUUGUAGUGGUGGUGGCACUAACAUUAAAGACUCAGUGA